CCGAGUUUACAACUCCCAAACCCCUGUGAACAUACCAAUUGUUGCCUCGGCGGAUCAGCCCGCUCCCGGUAAAACGGGACGGCCCGCCAGAGGACCCCUAAACUCUGUUUCUAUAUGUAACUUCUGAGUAAAACCAUAAAUAAAUCA
rnacentral:misc_RNA from 2 species